GACGAACGCUGGCGGCGUGCCUAAUACAUGCAAGUUGAGCGAUGAAGAUUGGUGCUUGCACCAAUUUGAAGAGCAGCGAACGGGUGAGUAACGCGUGGGGAAUCUGCCUUUGAGCGGGGGACAACAUUUGGAAACGAAUGCUAAUACCGCAUAACAACUUUAAACAUAAGUUUUAAGUUUGAAAGAUGCAAUAGCAUCACUCAAAGAUGAUCCCGCGUUGUAUUAGCUAGUUGGUGAGGUAAAGGCUCACCAAGGCGAUGAUACAUAGCCGACCUGAGAGGGUGAUCGGCCACAUUGGGACUGAGACACGGCCCAAACUCCUACGGGAGGCAGCAGUAGGGAAUCUUCGGCAAUGGACGAAAGUCUGACCGAGCAACGCCGCGUGAGUGAAGAAGGUUUUCGGAUCGUAAAACUCUGUUGGUAGAGAAGAACGUUGGUGAGAGUGGAAAGCUCAUCAAGUGACGGUGACUACCCAGAAAGGGACGGCUAACUACGUG
rnacentral:rRNA from 1 species